GAUCCCUCCAUGUAGUCCAUACUCAUCAGAAAAACACAGAAUGGAUCUCAGGAGCACAGUUAGCAGAGUGUCCAACCCAAUGGAGAUGCCAGAUGGACUUACACUCUCUGACACACAGACAAUUUCCUGUGUCUAAGAAGAACUGUCUAAGAGGGCUUCUCUGAAAUGAAGAAUUAGAUCUGUGAAAUGUCACAAGAAAUUCCCAUGACAAUAAAAACAUAAUUGUGUAACUAUAACUUGCAGUAUUACACAUAGGCAAAUGCAUCAAAGACCUUAGGGGGGCCGGUCACGUGUAUUGAAAUGAUGCUAAAGAAUGCUUUACAAAGAGCUUUAAACUUCACCCCUUCUUUAUUUUUUUUUUUUGUCUGCAGAAAUGGAAAGCAAGAAGGCUUGGAAAUUUUCCAGGACUGAGUUCCUUCACAGUCAACAAUUGGCUCUUAAACUUACAAACUAUUUGGAGCAUGUGUUUUUCUUUGCUUGUUAGUUUUCCCACACUACAGAUUUUCUAGAUUUUGCUAAUCCAAAGGCCUGGCUCAUUUCUCCCUCAGCAUAUUAGUGUAUUUAUUUCCUCCACAGAUCAAAUUCCCUGUCUAAAUUAGUACACAUUUUUUUCUUGAAGAAAAAGGCAAAUACAAGAAAAGAAAGGAUAAAAAUGGGUCAACAUUUCUUGGGCAUGAAAACAGUUCCAAUCUUUCUCCAUUUAAAACAAUGCCAGAGUUAUGUAACAGAUUCAAUUUAAAAACUCACAAUUAGUUUGGGGUUGACUUUUAAAAUUAUAAUUAAACUGACAUACUUGUUAUUGUCUUGGUAACAGAUGGAUUCAGCUUGAACUAUUUGUGGCAAAUGGGGAAUAGGGAAAGAAAAAUCUUUUCAAAUGAGUUUUUGUUUCUUCCUUCAGACUACAUCUGUUGAUACAGUCCCUCUUCUACCCCCUUCAAGGAUGAGAAAACAUUUCGACUUUGGAGCAGUUAGUUACUUAACUUCCUGUACGAAACUCAGAUCUUUGUUGCUGCCAACCACAUAGGUAGCUACAGAAGCCUGAGCUCUUUGGUGGGGAAGCCAUCAGUCAAGGCUAGCAGAACUGUCAAUACUAGUACAACUUCGGCUUCAUACUGUCAGAUGUGGAUGAAUCACUUGCAUUGUAC
rnacentral:lncRNA from 1 species